rnacentral:rRNA from 1 species
GAUGAACGCUGGCGGCGUGCUUAACACAUGCAAGUCGAACGAAACACCUUAUUUGAUUUUCUUCGGAACUGAAGAUUUGGUGAUUGAGUGGCGGACGGGUGAGUAACGCGUGGGUAACCUGCCCUGUACAGGGGGAUAACAGUCAGAAAUGACUGCUAAUACCGCAUAAGACCACAGCACCGCAUGGUGCAGGGGUAAAAACUCCGGUGGUACAGGAUGGACCCGCGGCUGAUUAGCUGGUUGGUGAGGUAACGGCUCACCAAGGCGACGAUCAGUAGCCGGCUUGAGUGAGUGAGCGGCCACACUGGGACUGCGACACGGCCCCAACUCCUACGGGAGGCAGCAGUGGGUAAUAUUGCACAAUGGGGGAAACCCUGAUGCAGCGCCGCCGCGUGAGUGAAGAAGUAUUUCGGUAUGUAAAGCUCUAUCAGCAGGGAAGAAAAUGACGGUACCUGACUAAGAAGCCCCGGCUAACUACGUG